GCUUUUCUCCUCAGGCUAAAGGCUAAUGUUAUUGCCAUGGUGAAGAAAUCUCCGGAGCUGGAGAAAACCGCGCUGAGGUGAUUCAUAAAUGGACUGUGAGGAUCCUUUGGGACAAUAAUUAGACAUGUCUUUGUCUCUCUAUCUCGCUCCAUCCCUCUUUUUUUUCUUUCGGAUAAUGGCUCGACAGCCUUGGUGCAGUCUGGGAACUAAUUCAUCAGGUUUUAGUGAGAGUUUUAGCUGUUAAUUGGACAGCUCCUUACCUCAGCUCGGCAGCGCGCGAAUCGCCAGUCCUACGGCAACCGUUCAUCUCUUGAAUAUUAAGUAGCUCUCGAUGACGUAGCGCGGACAGUCUUCCAAUGGCAAACGGCUCUCUUCUAAACUUUCGUUAAUUUAUUCUGACGUCACCCGCUGACCUACCUAUAGGAAAGUCUUGCGCUUUAAGGCUUUCCGACGUCGCUUGGUAUUCGUCAAAAGGCUAAUACAUGGAUCAUGAAUACUAAGAGGAAAACCUUCACCAUAGUACGAUUGGUAAAUUCUCGUCGGAGCUCGAUGUGAAAUGACAUGAUCUAGAGAGGUUCACUUCACUUCCAACAUCCUCAUGUGAACCCUACAGUCACAAUACUUGAUUUAACACGGGUACGGGCCGCCCCAGGACACAGCUGGAUGGCAGCUGUAGAGCAUUUGGAUGUGAAGUGGGUGGCUGGGAGGUGCGGCUGUGGUGGGGAGGGUUCCUGGCACCGUGAUUUGGUGGAUAAACAGAAAUGAAAAUCACAUUGCCAGGGAUUUCCACCCCUGCACAGUUCUUCAGGUGCCCCACACCUACAACGCCUCCCGCUGGUACGUGUCCAGCUCCUGACCGGCUGUAUUUUGGAGAUCCUGUAAGAAGCACAGAGAUUUGUCUGAAUUAGUCUGUCAGUGCACUUGUGUGCAUGUUGCUUAAAGUCAACAUGGAGUGUGUUUACUUUAUUAAUGUGCGUUCCUGCUUUCAUUGUGCUGGUUUUAUCAUUCAUCAGAAUGUACUUGCUCCACCUAGAAAAUGAUUUUACUUUAAUAAGUCAAGCAUCACUAUUACUAAUGCUCAUCCUUGGGGUUAUGGAUUUAAGCAAACCCCUAACCGUGAGAAUUAAACUUUGGUUGCUUGCUUUU